ACUAGCGGCGAUAGCACGUUGAAUGCAACAGUUCCGCAUAGAUCACUGAAGUUAAGCAACGUUGCGUGUGGUUAGUACCUGGAUGGGUGACCAUCUGAGGAAUCCACAUGCUGCUGGGU
rnacentral:rRNA from 1 species